rnacentral:rRNA from 2 species
GGGGAAUUUUCCGCAAUGGGCGAAAGCCUGACGGAGCAAGACCGCGUGUGGGAAGAAGGCCUUUGGGUCGUAAACCACUUUAAUCAGGGAAGAAGUCAGUGACGGUACCUGAAGAAAAAGCCUCGGCUAACUCCGUGCCAGCAGCCGCGGUAAUACGGAGGAGGCAAGCGUUAUCCGGAAUCAUUGGGCGUAAAGAGUCCGUAGGUGGCCUCAAAAGUCUGCUGUCAAAGCCUUGGGCUAAACCGAAGAGAGGCAGUGGAAACUAGGAAGCUAGAGUGCGGUAGGGGUAGAGGGAAUUCCCGGUGUAGCGGUGAAAUGCGUAGAGAUCGGGAAGAACACCAGUGGCGAAAGCGCUCUACUGGGCCUGCACUGACACUGAGGGACGAAAGCUAGGGGAGCGAAUGGGAUUAGAUACCCCAGUAGUCCUAGCCGUAAACGAUGGAAACUAGGUGUAGCCCGUAUCGACCCGGGCUGUACCGGAGCUAACGCGUUAAGUUUCCCGCCUGGGGAGUACGCACGCAAGUGUGAAACUCAAAGGAAUUGACGGGGGCCCGCACAAGCGGUGGAGUAUGUGGUUUAAUUCGAUGCAACGCGAAGAACCUUACCAGGGCAAGACAACUUCGGAAGUGUGGGGAAACUCAGAUGUGCCCUUAGGGGAACCGGAGAGCAGUGGUGCAUGGCUGUCGUCAGCUCGUGUCGUGAGAUGUUGGGUUAAGUCCCGCAACGAGCGCAACCCUCGUGCUUAGUUGCCAGUCCCGAAAGGGAGGCACUCUAAGGAGACUGCCGGUGACAAACCGGAGGAAGGUGGGGAUGACGUCAAGUCAGCAUGCCCCUUACGUCCUGGGCGACACACGUACUACAAUGCGGCGGACAAAGGGUAGCGAGCCUGCGAAGGUCAGCCAAUCCCAGAAACUGCCGCUCAGUUCAGAUCGCUCUCUGCAACUCGAGAGCGUGAAGGAGGAAUCGCUAGUAAUCGCCGGUCAGAAUACGGCGGUGAAUCCGUUCCCGGGCCUUGUACACACCGCCCGUCACACCAUGGGAGCUGGCCAUGCCCGAAGUCGUUACUCCAACCUGAAAAGGAGGGGGACGCCGACGGCGGGGCUGGUGACUGGGGUGAAGUCGUAACAAGGUAGCCGUACCGGAAGGUGUGGCUGGAUCACCUCCUU